rnacentral:ncRNA from 1 species
GUGUAGAGGUGCAUGUGUCAAGAGUAACAGUUCCGACAGAUAAGGCUGAGGGAAGAACUGGGAAAGGGGCUCAUGCCGAAGAGAAUGAUUCCCUUUAUGGAUCAUUUGUCUGGAUGUGCAGUUAAGAGCUGUAUGUCUGUCACCGAUAGAGGAUUUCGAAUAAGCAGAAAUCAGGUGGAGUGCUACGGA